UCUGACUUGGCAAAGGCCACGUCAGGUUGUUUAAAACACGCAAACAUUAUAUGUUAAAACGUGGCUCACGUCGUAAAAAACUCUGUUUUUUUUUUUAAUUAUUAUUAAAGCAAUUUUAUUUUUUUCUGAAGAUCACGAACUCCAUCUUCAGCACGAGGAUGAAAUCCAUGUUAUGAUCUCAACGACGACAACUUUUCUUCUUCGAAGCCUUAUCUUUCUGAAACACGGGACUCUGAAGGUAAGCCCCAUCUUUCUGAUGCACUGGACUCUGAAGUUCGACUGCGAGAUUGAUCGAGGCUUGGCCGACAUGUGACGCAUCCAACAGUUCGUUUCCGAUUCGGGUAAAACAACUUUGAGAAUGGUUGGGGGUCAUUGAUCUGGGCAUGCUCUGCUUAAUGGACUGUUACCGGGGGCUUUCAUCCGUAAGAGGCUAUUGAAGAAGUCACUGCAAAAGGCUAUUGAUCUAGGCAUACUCGGCUUAACUCAUGUGUUUUGGCUGCUCGUGGUUGUUUGGACUGUGUGAUGGCAGCAUUGUAUUCAUUUUAGAAAUGUUAGAUUUUCUUAUUAUUAUUUUGGUUCCCGUUAAGUGAACUCAUGUUGUAAUAUAUUUUCAUAGAAUCAUUAUUGUAACCCCCUAUUAGCAAUUCAAUUCUUAAAUCCAAGUUCAAUA